rnacentral:rRNA from 1 species
GAUGAACGCUGGCGGCGUGCCUAAUACAUGCAAGUCGAGCGAACAGACGAGGAGCUUGUUCCUCUGACGUUAGCGGCGGACGGGUGAGUAACACGUGGGUAACCUACCUAUAAGAGGGGGAUAACUUCGGGAAACCAGAGCUAAUACCGGAUAAUAUAUUUAAACGCAUGGUUCAAUAGUGAAAGACGGUAUUGCUGCCACUUAUAGAUAGAUCGGCUCCGCAUAAGCUAGUGGGUAAGGUAACGGCUUACAAAGGCAACGAUGCGUGGCCGACCGGAGAGGGUGAUCGGCCACACUGGACCUGAAACACGGUCAAGACUCCUCCGGGAGGAAGCAGAAGGGAAUCUUCCGCAAGGGGGGAAGGCCGGACGGGGCAACGCCGCGUGAGUGAUGAAGGUCUCCGGAUCGUAAAACUCGGUUAUUAGGGAAGACCAAAUGUGUAAGUGACUACGCACGUCUUGACGGUACCUAAUCAGAAAGCCACGGCUAACUACGUG